AAUCAAAGCAGAUACAAUUAAAUGAAGUAACUCUCUUUUGUUUUAGAUAUAUACAGUAAUAUUAUUUGUGUUUUGUGAGGAAUACUGUGGUGUGAGGUUGGGUGUUAACUAUUUCAUAUUAUAUUCUAGAUUUUAAACCUGUCAGAUGAGUGAAACUGAAAUGCAGGCAUCUAGUUAUCUUUUGUAGAGGGCAUUAAUAACCAGAUUCCUUCAAAUGGAUAGUUUAUCAGAACGUGGGUUUUGAGCGCGAGUGAGCUCCAAGGACUACCUUCAUUUUUUUGCUAAGAAACACAGUAACAUGCAUGUAAAUAAACACUACAAUAAAGGCCACAUCGGUACUUGCCAUAGACAAAAAAGACAGUGAAACAUAGAUCAAAAUGCAUAACAAAGACAUACUGAACUAAAGCCCACAUAAUGCACUAAGCACUCUCAUGUUUGUGAAUGUCACUGAAUAUUAAAUUUAUUGAAUAUGUGUGGGCUGAUCUAGACAAAUCUCUACCUCAGAAGGAAAAAAAAACAUUUGAGUGAA